rnacentral:rRNA from 1 species
UACGUAGGGUGCGAGCGUUGUCCGGAAUUAUUGGGCGUAAAGAGCUCGUAGGCGGUGUGUCGCGUCGGUCGUGAAAACUUUCAGCUUAACUGGGAGCUUGCGGUCGAUACGGGCAUCACUGGAGUUCGGCAGGGGAGACUGGAAUUCCUGGUGUAGCGGUGAAAUGCGCAGAUAUCAGGAGGAACACCGGUGGCGAAGGCGGGUCUCUGGGC